AAACUAAAAACUAAAUUUUGAAAACUCAAAAAGAAGCAUUUAAUUUUUCAUUUUUUAGUGAACCCUGAACUCUAAACCUAAAUCUAAACUAAUCUAAUUCUUCUCAAGUGGCCCUAAACUAAUAAAAAAGAAGCUUUCAUUUUUCAUUGAGAAUUGUACCUUAUGCCCCCAAUGGCAUCGAUGAGCCCAAAAAUGAUAUUGGAAGCUCGAGAUUUUUGGGGUUUAUUGCCAAUUGGACAACCACUAAAAUAUCUCAUUCGUUACAUUAUCUUCCAUGUGAACCACAAAUACAGUUGAAAGUAAGGUGUUACCAACAGAACCUGUUGCAACGUGUAUAUACUCCUCCAUGCUUGGGAUGCAUUGUUUGCAGAACCAUCUAGCCUCAUCAAAGUAGGCUUGGGCAGUAGCUUUCCACUGUAUGUGACAAUGACAUGUGUGAAAACUUAAACUUUGAUAGUUAAACUAGUCCUAAAGAAAGUAAAGUUCAAAUAUAAUUAAAUUGCCUUUUUUCUUUCUCUCCUUCCGUGAGAGACCUUAUCUCCUCUGCAAGAGUUUUCUUCCCCUUUUGGUGAGGGUCUUCAUCUUGCCCACCUUCUCAGGCGCUGACUCUGGCUUUGGCUGGAGUCAGUUGCCUCUUUUCCUUUUCUUCUUCUGUUUUCUUAUUUUCUCCCAUUCUUUGUUGUGUUCUUCUCUUUUCCUUUUCUUCUUCUGUUUUAUUCUUCUGAUGCUUCUCCCUAUUUUUCCUUCAGGCCUGUCUUCUUCUUCAUCUUCCGUUGGUAUUCCUUUCCCCAUCCCUUCCUCAGUCCGAUCUUCAACCGUUCCUUUUGAGUUCGUGUGUAGAGUUGGGGUGUUGGUCCUGGCUCGGGUGUUUCCCACACCAUCAUGUUCUCCUUAUUGUCUGUUUUUUUUGGCAGUGUUACUCGUGAGUUUCCCCGAGCUUUUUCCCAGUAGCUGGCUAAUCCCUCUUUGGUACCAACUAUCACCUGUUAGUGCUGUGAUCUGAUUGCUGUUCAGGGUUGGCGGUGGUGUCUAAGAUGACGUUACUCAAUGGUGUAUAACGUUUCCUGUGGCUGGCCUGGAUCUUUGUCGGUGGAGGAGUUUUCAGCAGAAGCUUCUCGAUUGGCUCUUGGGUGUUUUUUUGGGUUUCACUGUUGUGGGGCCUCCUUUUUUCUGUGGUGACUGCUUAUGAGGUUAGGGAUAAGCCCUCAACGUUGAAGGCAGAGGAUUAGGACUGGGUUGUGGUGGUUUUCGUCUUGUUGAGAUUUAUUAUGGGGUUUUUCAUGCGAUUCGAAGAUGAUAAUGUGGAGUCAACAAAGAUUGUGAACCCGUGGAAUGUGAAGAUCAUCUUAGUUGGUUGGUAGAAUUUAUUUGAUUUAAUGUGCUACCCGUAAAAGUUCCACUGAAUUAUGCUUGUAGGAAAAAACAAAUUAAUUGUCUUAAUUUGCUACUACGAUGGAAAAAAAAUUGUUCCCUUUAAUUUAUGCUUGUAGGAAAAUCAGAAUGAUUCAACGUUAAUGGUUUGUUAGACCCUUGGAACCAUUAUGCACACAAGUAGUUAAUUAGUUACCCCUUCCUUUGUGCUUUAAUUAUCUUGAUUUGUAUCGCUACAAUGAAAUAGGAUUGUUGUUAUUUACCUGUAAGAAUUUCACUGUAUUUAAUACGUAUAUUUACCAAAAUAAAAAGUACACGGGAUGGGGGGAAUUGCUCGUGAAUUUCUGA